rnacentral:misc_RNA from 1 species
GAAAUGCGAUACGUAGUGUGAAUUGCAGAAAACCGUGAACCAUCGAAUCUUUGAACGCAUAUUGCGCCCGCGGCUUCGGCCAAGGGCAUGUCUGCCUCAGCGUCGGGUUAAUACUCGCCCCACACACUCCCCUCAAAAGGAGCAAAACGUGGUCGGGGCGGAUCUGGCCGUCCCAGCUCUUUUCCAUCCUUCAAAACGAUGGUCUCUGAGCUGGGUUGGCUGAAGUGCAGAGGUUUGUUCAAGGACCCGUCAAGGGCCGCAGCUGGUUAGGCAGUGAUGCUAUCGAUUAGCUGUUGGUCUGGGUCCCGGAUGAGCCCUCAACCAGGAAACUUAUACUUAUUUCCUCGACCUGAGCUCAGGCAAGAUUACCCGCUGAACUUAA